GCGCGGCUAGCUCAUCGGGUAGAGCACCGGACUUUUAAUCCGGCGGGCUGGGUUCGAGUCCCAGGCCGCGUA
rnacentral:tRNA from 1 species